AUCCAGCUGACGAGUCCCUAAUAGGACGAAACGCGUGUCCUCGAU
rnacentral:hammerhead_ribozyme from 1 species